rnacentral:lncRNA from 1 species
AUUUCAAUCGUCAAAUGAUAGCUUCUAGUACGCUGAUUCCAAAAAUAUUUGGUUUCCAUACAUUUUUUUUUAAAUAAGGGAGAUAAUUUGUUACUUCCGGUUUGAAAAAUGUUACUUACGAUUAUAUAUUAAUAUUUACUUGACACUUAUUCCAAAAAUAUCUGGUUCUAUAUACUUUUAUAUUAAUAAAGUACAAAAAAUAGCUACUUCCGGUUUACAAAAGGUCACUUCCGGUUGUUUCUUUCAAGGUUAAAUGGUUUGAUACCUUUUUCCAAAAGUUUCAUAGCUUUAUCAUGUAACAUAUAAAAUAAAAGCAAAGGUCAAAAUCUAGAACGUCAAAUUAAGCUAUGACCUUGAGAUCAAUUUCAAGGUCAUGAACUAAGGACCUCAAAUCAAAAGACCAUAGGUCUUAAUUAUAUUUGGUUAAUGACUUAUAUCACCAAACACGUAUUUUUAAAUACAAGAGGGGAGAAAACUCCCUUUUACGUUCAACGUGCCCUUGCAAUAAACAUUUAUGUGUUGCGACAUGUCGCAACUAACAAUUUAGUAAAAAUAAUUUGUUGAUAUCUUAUACGGUCUUUGGAUAUAAGUGAAAAUAAGCCAAAUUCAAAUAUUAGAAUAUGACCUUGACCUUUGACCUUGACCUAAUUUUCAUUUUUUUUGGACCAAGGACCUCAAAUCAAAAGAUCCUAGGUCUCUAUCACUUAUGGUUUAUAAGAUAGAAAUGCAUAUCACUUAUAUCAGAUGCAUAAGGGGAAAUAACUCUCAUAUGGAGCGGUCAUAUUGCUUCGGUCAAAAUAGGACAAAUCAUGCAAAGGAUAUAACAAGCAAAUUUUGUAAAAUAAAUUUGUCGUUAUCUUUUACGGUUGCGAAGGAGUUGUGAGCACAAGGAAAACAGUGUUUGGGGAGAUAACUCCUACAAAAAAAAGUAUUCGGUUACGCAGGGUAAAUUUCAAAAGCGCAUAAACUGUUCGAUAUCAUAUACCAAAUAUCAAAGCGACAUAUUGCGAAACAAAUGUUUAUCGCAAGAACAAAAUUAGGCGGAAGAAAAAAAAAAAAUCAGAAGAAAAACAAUAGGUCUUUCCACAGAAAAGUGGAAAGACCUAAUUAAA